rnacentral:lncRNA from 1 species
UCCAUAAAGCCCAUGCAACUACUAGCAUCAGUUCCAGCUGCUCUUCAUCAAGACACUUCCCCAUCUCCUUCACUCAAUCUGAGAGAGAGCCUGCAUCUGUUGAGUAUGAAGGGCUAAUGGGCAGAGUAGCCAAAUGCCAGAUGCCCAGGGGCAGCCCUUUAAAACAUGAAUGGUAGAUUCAGGCUCCAUUCCACAUCUGUCACAAAGCAGGUCAACCUCCACCUUUC